AUGUCUCUAGUGGAUUGGUUCUGUGGAGCUCUGGCGUCUGUGGCUCUGCGCCAGAAGGAAGCGAAGAUCUUGUUCUUGGGGCUGGAUAAUGCAGGGAAGACCACCCUGCUUCGCAUGCUGAAGCACGAGAGAUUGGUUCUGCACCAACCCACCCAGUUCCCGACUUCACAGGAAUUGAGUAUAGGGAAGAUAAAGUUCAGAGCUUUCGACUUGGGUGGUCGCCAGAUCGCUCGCAGAGCCUGGCCGGACUACUACGCUAAGGUGGAUGCGGUGGUGUAUCUGGUGGACGCCUGCGACAAGGAGAGAUUUGCGGAAUCAAAGAGGGUGCUCGAUGCCCUUCUUUCAGAUGAAGCUCUUGCUAAUGUCCCUUUCCUCAUUCUCGGGAACAAGGUAGAUAUCCUGUAUGCAGCUUCGGAGGACGAGCUGCAAGAUCAUCUCGGCUCACCGGCUUGAUGACCGGCAAAGGGAAAGUGAAUCUUGCAGAUCAGACUGUUAGGCCCUCGAGGUGUUCAUGUGCAGCGUCGUGCGCAAGAUGGGCUAUGGCGAAGGGUUGAGUGGAUGUCGCAGUAUAUCAAGUGA